rnacentral:rRNA from 1 species
UGAGGAAUAUUGGACAAUGGAGGAAACUCUGAUCCAGCCAUGCCGCGUGAGUGAAGAAGGCCUUAGGGUUGUAAAGCUCUUUCAACGGUGAAGAUAAUGACGGUAGCCGUAGAAGAAGCCCCGGCUAAAUUCGUGCCAGCAGCCGCGGUAAUACGAAUGGGGCAAGCGUUGUUCGGAAUCACUGGGCUUAAAGCGUGCGCAGGCGGAUUUGCAAGUCAGGAGUGAAAUCCCGGGGCUCAACCCCGGAACUGCUCUUGAAACUGCAAGUCUAGAAUACCGGAGAGGUUAGGAGAAUUCCGAGUGUAGAGGUGAAAUUCGCAGAUAUUCGGAGGAAUACCAGUGGCGUAGGCGCCUAACUGGACGGUUAUUGACGCUCAGGCACGAAAGCGUGGGGAGCAAACAGGAUUAGAUACCCCUGUAGUCC